CCUGGGUCAGCCUGGCUCAGGACCCCUGUGGCCUGGGACGAUCUGCCCUGGAGUUGGUGUUCAGGGAGGAUGGCUGAGGUGAAGGGCCAGGAGGGGCCCAGCUUGGCGCAGGGGUCUUGCCAUACCCUUGCACUCCUGCCCGUCCCCCUGAUCCCCACAUGGAUGGCUCUGUAAUUCCCUGUCACUUAACCUUCUUCUGCCAAUUUCCCAAGCCCCCAGGUGGGAUGGGAAAGGGAACUUGGACCUAAAGGCAAAUGCUGGCUUUCAUGGGUGCAGGAGGCAGUGGUGGGGGGGGUGAUUCCUGAAUGCCCUGGUGUAAGAUGUGAAGAGGGCUUCAGGACUAGUCUCCAGUUUACCUACAAGGAAACGCAGCCUCACGGAGGUAAAAUGACUCUCCCAAGGUCUCACAACUAAGCAGAAGUGAAUCUCACUUGGAGUUCCAGCUUCCAGGUUUAGAGUUCCUUGAAAAAGACAAACCAAACACAAACAAACAAAAAUGCCAAAGUCUUCUUGGUGAGGAAGGGGGAGGGGGGCCAAGAGUGAGACGGAUUGGAUUCCCCUCCACUGAGCGGAGUUGUUUCCUUUUCUGUGGAAUGUAGGGCAAGGGGGUGCAUUCCUGCCCCCUGUGGCUAUUGUGAAGAAUUCAAUGAUAGGAUGGAUGUCAAUGCUUUCUGAGGGGCCUGGUGGUCUUCAUGAGUCCCCCCCCCCAGAGGGCACAGGGCGCCCUAGGUUCCGAGUGAGGCCGGUGGUCUAGGCUGCGUCGGGCCUGCCCUCACUUUGAGGGCCUGUCUCUGUGCUCUGGGUGGAGGACGCGGCUGGUUUGGUAAAUAAUAACAGUAAAUUGGGGGUUUUCCUUUGACUUGGUUGGAGACAGGAAGCGCCUGUGGAGGGCUGUGAAUGACGAGUGGGCAGAGUGGGUAGAGCCUGCCCAGGGUGUGAAGGAAAUUCAGUUAUUCGGGGGAGGGGGAUGGGGUUGGUGAGGCGGGGAAAGUGGCCGUCCUACCCACCCCACCCGGUUAAUGUAAACAGACCUGCUGGCUGGCUGGCCACUCCCCAGGUGGGCCAGAGCGGGAAUGGGAGCAGCCCUGGGGGGCAGCCUCAGCGCCCUCGGCCGCCCCAGAGGGAGUCUGGCCAAGUUUAGAAGUAACUCCUGUUUAGAAGGGACACGAGCUCCAGCUCUGGGGCGCAUUUUGGCAAAUUUACCUACCUCUCCUCGCCCUGCACUAGGACCAGUGUGAAGAGACCACCCAAAAUCCUAAAUCCCUAAAUACCCCAGCACUGACUAGUGUGCACUAUGCUUUGGGUAAAAAGAAGCGUAAGACCCAGUUCCUGCUCCGUGUGCAAACUUGAGAGGCUGUCUUUUCCUUUCUCUGCCCCCGAGGCCCGGAUACCUACUUUGUGGUCUGAAUCUCUCUGUUCACAACUGCUCCAGAUGGUGACGGAGGUGUCAUCUGAGCCCAGGUGGCCUGGGGCAGCCUUUGAGCCCCUAAAGGUUCUGACACUGGAGGAAUGAGUGAGGUGGAAGCCGCAUGCCCUGGAGCCUUGUCUUCUGGACAAAGCCCUCACGUGCCUUCCUGGAGACAAUAGCAGUUCUACCCCCAUUGAGGUGUGUGAGGCUUAAAUGUGGCCACGCCAGGACUUCGAGAAGUGGGGAGGGCACUAUCCCUGGGUGUGUGUAAGGGGGUUCCUCCCCCAAGCUGCAGAUCACCCUUUGAAGGAGAUCAGUGCUUUGGCCUCCUCGGCUCGACUGCUCUUGGAGACUCAGCCCCGUCGCAGGAGUUCCGACACCACGUUCUGAUUCAGCUCCUCUUCAGCACGUGCUCCGUGCCACGCCUGGUGCUUGGACUCUGGGGAGACGCGGACGAGCUGGAAGUGGGUCUAGCCCCAUGUCUAGGGGAGCAGAUGGCCCGUAACAGAACAGAAAGCAGGGGAAAUCGACACCUGAAACAGCAGGUGCUUGCAGUGCAGAUGGUGGAGCUCUUCUGGCAGAGACCCUGAAGCGCCCCCCAGGAGCCCUGGGGGGACAGAUGUGACAGUAGUCAAUGAGGGAAGAGCUCCGUGGAGGUGCUCCCAUCAGAUGUCCACUCUCAUCUCUGCAGGAGCCACAUCUUUCCUUUGAGUCUAGGUUCCCCCUUCUGUCUUUUGGUCUGAACUGCUGUCUGUUACCGCCCCUCCCCGCCCCCCGCCUUUGCUUCAGCUUGAUCUUUGACUCCCAUCAAUUCAUCCAAGGGAAAUCUGAUUUACCCUCCUCAAGGGGGGGGCGUCCUCAGUGCUUUUCUGCCCAUUUUCCCUUCCCAGCCCCUCCAACCUGGAUUCCUCUCAUUCAUCUAUGUUUGCUUCCCCCAUAACCAAAAUUUGGGAACAGAGCCUGAGUGGGAUUUCCCCUCUAAUCUUCUGUUCAUUAACUUUUAAAGAAGACUUAAACUUAGAUCAUUUUUAGUUACGCAUUUUACAAGUCAUUAUGACAAAGGACAAUGUUACAUGUAACUGGGGGCUCCUCUUGGAAAAGUGGACUGAAUGGUUGUCCAGGAUUCCCUUGUCUGCCACCGUCCCCCCCCCCCAGUGUCACUGAGACGCCAUAGCUCUUUGUAGGCUGUUCUCACCUCUCCGCAUGGUCCUCACACCACCCCUCAGUAUCGGAAAUGGGAGCCCCUGAGAACUUCCCAUAACAGAUACACAUCUUAAUGUACUUAAGCUUCCACACUUUUUAUUUUUUACACACCAACAUCUCAAACCUAGGGUUACCUUGGAAUGUACAUCCACCCUCUGUGGGGGGCAUAAUUCCUCUGGGGGGAAAUUAUUCCCCAGAGCCUCCGGCCAGGGCCAGGAAGUCUUGGCUGUGACUCUCUGGUGGGGAGAUCUUCGGGGGACAAGUGGCAGCUGCUGAGAGGCCGGGAACCUGUGUGUGGUAAGUCAUUUUUAGGGGCCAGAGCUGCCAUGCAAAUGCAUUCGUUUGCAUAACUUUCUUGCUCUAUGGGACAGUGAAGUUUCCUAUUCCAUGGGACACUGCUGCCAGGAUUUGCAAGUGAAAUAUUGGGACUGGCUUUCCCCCUUUGCUGUUCCCCUCUUUCAUGAGACUUUACCUCCCCCCGCCCCCUCGGGUUUUGUUUCUGUCCCUCAGGCCCUGUGUAACCAACCAAAUGCUGGUCUUAACAUUUCUGUUCCUAGGAGACUAGCCUUGCUGGGGCCCUGAUAUGCAAAGUAUCUACAAAGGUCAUGCAAAUGAGUCCCUGGGCUGGGUGACUCUGGCCCAAGUCCAAAACCUGUGGAUAGCUCAGGCCCCUGCUGUCUGAGCCCAAAGGAAACGUGAUCGCCAUCCCUUCCGCCAUCCCUUCGUCCCUUCACCCUCAUCAGUCCAGGUGGCCGAGACAUCUUGUUCCUCAACUAGCAAGAGCCUCCUGGGGCUAUGAGGCCUCAAGUUUCAGAAUGAGCUGAGUUCUCCCAGCCCUUACCCUCUGAUUUGGAGACCUGUGGUUCCAAAUUCACCAGUCAGAGGUUUACUUUUCAAACAAACCACGAUCACAUCGAAGUCUGAACCCCAGACCUUGGUUAGCUGUGCCUAGAGCCUGCGGUCCAGGGAGACCUGGUAUUUGCAGUAAGACCCAGAAGGGCCUAUGGUUUUCUGGCACUCAGCUGUCUCCUUUCCUGGUCAGAAACCUGUUCUAAGUAACUGCCCUCAUAGUGAGACUCUGACCCUCCUCACCCGCACCCACAGCGGCUCACAGUGGGCACCAAGGCAGGACGGAAGGGGACAGGGGCAGGCCAUUCUCUGAGCCAGUCUGCAAGGAAGAGAAAUCCAGUCUGAUCCAUUUACUCCAAGUUCUGAAAAGGGUAGCUGAGCCAGCAUAGGUGCUCGGGCUCUGUUGGAUGGAUGAAUACAUCUAAGAACAAUGAACACAACUAAUUUUAGUAAUUCAAACAGCGAAGCAAUUAGACACACAUCGUCGUAUAUACAUUCAGAGUGAAAUGUGCAAGCUCUUCUUUACAACCUCUCUCUCUCCUCACUCAACGAUGCCGGCUCCCUCUCCAGAAAUAACUUUGUUUAACAGCUUGGUGUGAUUCUCAUUUUAUCCAGCCUUACAAAAAUUUCUAUUUAUCUACACACGUAUAUCCUAAAUACAGGUGAGAAAUUUCUUUGAGGGUUAUAACAAGUACAAAUGGGAUCGUUAGGCAUAUGGUUUUACAACUUGCUUUUUUUAAAAAAAAUUGUGCUGAAACAUCCAUGCCGUAAAAUUUACCACCGUAACCAUUCUUAAGUGUGGAGUUAAAUAGUGUGAAGUAUCUUCCCAUUGUCGCACAACCCAUCUCCAGAACUCUAGCCACAUCCGUUAAUCGAUAUGCAACUUGCUUUUUAAACUCAGCAUAUCAUAGUGGGUGUCCGUGACCGAACUCAACUAUCAAAAAUUUUUUCUAGUGUUUUAAAGGUUUUUUGUUUUUAGUUUUUAGUAAUCUCCACACCCAACGUGGGGCUCAAACUCACAACCCCAUGAUUAAGGGUCACAUGCUGUACUGACGGAGCCAGCCGGGUGCCCCAGAACCAUCCUAUUCUUAACAGCUGCAGAGGAUUCCACAGCAUCAAUGCAGCAUAAUUUAUUUAACUAUCUGCCCUUGGUGGAUGUUUUAUUUCCUUUUUUUUUUUUACUCUUAGUAUGAAUGUUGCAAACGGCUUCAGCCAUAUCUCUGUGCACAUGUGUAAGGACUUCUGUAGGAUAGGUUCCUAGAAGUGGCAGUUAGAGAAAGGGGUAUGUACACUUUAUGUUUUGGUAGGCACUCCCAAAAAGACAGUAUCGAUUUAUGAAUGAAUGCAUUUUGCAUAUUGCUUUCUGAAUGACACGCCCAUGAAUGGAUUUACUGUCAGCAGUGGGGCAAUCUGUGGGUGGAAUAAGUCAGCUGAGAAUAAGAGUACAGAAGCACUUCCCAAAACAUAGAUACAUACUCUGGGUAACAUUGUGGGCGACUGGAAGAAUCAGAUGAGGGGCAAAGGGGAUUCCUUCAGCCUCUCCCCGUAUCAGUGGCUCUGCUCACCCAAUUACAGUUAUUUGCAUAUAUUUUGGGUGUGCAGGCAGAAUGGCUCGAAGACCAAUCUGAGGGUCAGCCUUGCUCAGCUUUCUGCUGGUGUUUGAUCUUGGGCAUGUUGCUUGAUCUGGUUCCCAGACUGCGAAGCCCCUGGUGGGAACGCCAAGGAGAUGACAGUGUGCAGAUGACUUUGACAUACGGCCCACUGGCAGGUGCUGUGAGAGGCCCAGAGUGUCGUGGGAGCUUCCCGGGGGGACUCCCAUCUGGUUAGGGAGACCGUGACAGAAAGGCCCGUGCUGAAAGAGGUGACUCUGGCUCAGGGUUCUAGGAGUUACGGGGGACACAGGAAACUUGCAGGCAUUUUUUCUUACGAUACAGGAGCUCAAUCACAUUACCCCCAGAACCUUUACGGGACACUGAUUGCGUGCCCAGCCCUCUGCUGAUUACAGAGUCUGCAGAACCAGGUUCGUGAUGCGGUGGUCAAUAGCUCGGUUGCACACUACACGGGAGAAAGCUUUGGAGUUACACUACACUGGGUUCCAAGUAUGUGCAGGUGACUUCACAGAGCCUCCGUUUAUCAACUAGUACCUUGGGGAUAAGAAAUGUGGCACUCCACAAAAAUUUCUUUUAAGAUUGCUUUAUUUCAGAGAGAGAGAGAGAGUGCGUGCAAGCCAGGGAGGUGCAGAGGGAGAGAGAGACAAGCAGACUUUGGGGAGCCCGAUGUGGGGCUUGAUCCCAUGAGAUCAUGACCUGAGCCAAAAUCAAGAGCUGGGGGCUCAACCAACUGAGCCACCCAGGCACCCUUCCAAAAUUAUUAACAAUAUUUAGAAUUAUAAGUAUUAACUAUGAGAAUGUGCUUCCUGGACCUCCAAUUACAGCAGCAGCAUCCUAGGGCCUCAGGAGCUGUUCUCCGAAAGCCACUGUUGCAUUUGCGCUGAGGCCAUAUUUCCCUCCUGCUGCCCCCAGGCAAUGACUGGGCCUGGUAGGCAUUCUAAGGUACACCAGUUCCGGGGGGAACCAGGCCUCUAGUGAAGGCUGAUUUUGGUCUGAGGAUUCCCUGGCAGCUCUGCGGAAGCUUCUUCAGGCUGCACAGUAGUAUAGGCCACUCGUGCCCAGCCUUCUCUCCUUUGCUCCUCAGUGGGGUCAGGGCUCUCUCAGCUUGACCAGCCUCCCCACCCCCUUUUCUCUCAUAAAGACAUUUCCCCUAACUAAACCCCCGGCCUGUCCAAUCCGGUUUUGUCGUCUGCUUCUCAGAGGACCCAGAUUAACAGUGAUAUUGCUUCCCUCAUAGGGCUGUUGCCAGGAACAACGGAGAAAGGUAAAAGCUUGAGCACGACGCCUGCGCAUGGUCAGCACUCAUUAUUGUCCUAUAUCACAGGCUCUGGACCUCAGCUUUCUGAACUCUGCGGCUGGAGUCACCAGUGAGGGGCCUACUCCCUCCCAGGAAGGAGUUCUGUAACUGUGUAACACUGCGACCACAGCCCUAGGCCAGAAACCACGCCCCUUCCUUCUGCUGGUCCAGAGGACCCGAGAGUGGCCAGCGAAGGCCUCCCUGCGAUUGCACCAGAAUGACUUGCAGUGAGAGAACUAGUGAAGCUGGUGAGGCUUCAGCUUCCGAGUCCUGACUUGCACGAACCACUCUCCUACUUUGGGAUCUGUAAGCUCCAAUUUAUUUUUUUCUGAAAGCCUCUAAAGUAUUCAAGCUUUGGGCUCCACAAACCUAGAUCCAUUGCGGCUUGUGUUCCACUGUGGCAGAAAAGGCAAGCCAUACACUAAAGGUUCUUUCACUUUCCAUCGUUGUUGCUGGAAAGUGGCCAUCCAGCCAGGGACUACACUUCUAGCUCCUCCGUGCCUUGGUUCAUAUCAAUGGAAUGUGGCCAAAGGGAUGUGCCCGCCAUUCCUUGGUCUGACCUAUUAAACCCUUUUAAACCUAUUAAAACCUAUAAAAACCUGUUAAAACCUACAAUCCUUUUCCCCUUCCCUUGUCUUCUGGCUGCAUCCAAGACAGGGUCAAGGGUGUGACUCCAUUUUUGAUGUUUACGUACAGCUUUCAAGCCCACUACUCCCCUUUCCCUUUCUGCCCCCCAAAACUGACACGAAAGCUUGAGUGCUCCCUCCUGUGGCUGUGGCGGGAAAUUCAAACCAUGCAAGUCUCAGCCUGUGCCUGGGAAUCCUUACCCACGCUCCAUCACCCAACUAUCAUGAACCCGAAGCCCGUAGCCCCUCUCUGCUUUCUCUCAAGCCGUUUUUGGAACCAGCCCUCCUCCUUCCAAGAAAGUCUCGCAUCUUUCUAGGCACAGUACAGCCCAAUAAAGAGAAGAUUUGGUGCCUAAAAGUGUUCCUGACCGGAGAUGCCUGCCAUAAUGACCCAAGAAUCAAAGACACAAGAGGGAAGAAACCUGCCAAACAAAUCUCCCACAACCAGUCUCCUUGACUGCUUUCUGCACCUUCAUCUAGGGGUGAAAGAGAAGAAGAUGGACUGGAAUUUUUCAGCCUAAAAUUCUCUAUUUGUUUGGGUCCUGAAAUUUCAUCACAUUAUAGGAAAAGUAGUUGUGACUUUGAAGGACUGGGUUGCUGACUGCAGUGGGCGAAGUGGUCCAAAUCCCAGAGGAAUGCUUUUUGGAAGAAAAUUCCACCAGCCCCCUUCCUUUCCAGAUCCUACCCCUUUUUCAAAGUUCCACUCAAUCUUUGGCUUCUCCAUGGACACUGCUCUGAUCAUUCAAACCAUUAAGUGAUGCCCUCUAUCCACACCUGGCUCUCAUUAGAGAGUACACCUGUAUCUGUAUAAUUAUUUGGCUUUUAAUCAUGUAUGUAUUUCUGAUAACUCUCCAUUAGUUGCCCUGGAUUGUUAUUUAUCUUUUUGUGCUAGUUUACUUUCUCAAGGAUACUAUGAGCAAAUUAAUGUAUUUACAUGUCCAGCAUAUAGUUCUGGAGUGCCAACUUGUGCCAGGCAUUGUUCUAGGUCCUGGGAGGUUAGAUUCUCUCUCUCUCCUUCUCUCUCUCUCAUAUGUCAACCAUCUAUCAUCUAUCUCAGGUGGUAGAUGCAAUAAAGACAAAAAAGGCUAAGGGGAGUUAAAUAAUGAAAUAAAGGAAAUCAUUGAUCAAGAAAAUGAAUGACAGU